AAGUCGUAACAAGGUUUCCGUAGGUGAACCUGCGGAAGGAUCAUUAACGCAUCUCCUCGGGGGGUUCUGGGAGCCCCCGCUCCGGCUCCGGCCGUCGAGCAGGCCCCGCCUCCCCCCGAAAAAAAUUUGCAAACCCACACUGUGCACCUUUCGCGGCAGAGGGUGUGGCGCGAGCCCGCCCGAAGCCGCGGUCCUCACAGACACGGUUUCUCGAAUGUGAAAGCGGACGCCGCUCCGCCCAUAAAACACUGACAACUUUCAACAACGGAUCUCUUGGCUCUC
rnacentral:misc_RNA from 1 species